GCACGCGCAGCAUCACGCGCUUCCAGUAGGAAUGCACGCGAGAGACGGAAUAUAUAAAUGCAAUGAUGGCGACAGCAGCAGAGGAGAUCUCAGAAAACACUGAGACAUCAGUGUCUUUCAAAAGCGCAAGGAAAAACCAGGAUAGACCCUGGAAACUGAGCUUUAUUUAUCUGCAGUGCUAUUUUUUAACAAUUGCUACAAUACUGGGCACUGGGAUCCUGGGACUGCCUGUAACUAUCGCUCGGGCAGGUCUGGUGCCUUUCUUGAUAUCCUUCCUUGUAGGCUUUCUAGUGCAGGCUCUGCUCAUUUACCUGUUUGUAGAUUUGCUUCAGCGAUGCCGUUUAGCCCAACUUGAGGCACUGAAGACUGCAGAAACUGAGAGGAUCUUAAUGGAAGAAUUCAGCUGUGCAGAUCCUCCGACACAAAAUGCAGAAGAGGAAGAAGAUGCAGAGGAAGUGGAAGAGGCAGAUACGGGUCUUCUGCAAAGUGACGUCAAAGCACGGAGGCAAGAUGAGGACCUUCAGCCAAAUCUUCACGUGCUGGGAGUUUUCUUCCUGGGCAAACACACCAGCCAUGCAUUCAACUUUGUUCUGCUCUUUCAAUUUGUGUCUAUCGGGAUCAGUUAUGUCCUGGCGGGAAGUGAGGCCUACGCUGCACUUUUUCAUACCAGUCAUGUCUACGUGAUCCCUGCAUUUACAUGGACGCUCUCAUUGGGGAUUCUUCUGGCCCAGACCAUCAUUCAGCCCAUCACGUCAUUGCUGACGCUACUCAAAGGAAUCCUGCUGGUUAUUACUGUGGCCGUGACAUUUGUUGUGGGUUCAGAGGUUCACCAAGAGACCACAAAUGACUUCACCCAAAUCGGGAAGCCUUUUCUAAUGGGAACAGUUGCUCUCGGUGGGAUUGUCAACGUCAUGCCUUUUUUAUUUUCAGAAAUCUCCCAUGUUAAAACACAGGUUUUAUGGUUCAGAAGAGCUGUACUUGGAGGACUUGCUACAUGCACAAUUUUAAAUAUAUUAUGGUGUUGGGCAGUUUUAGAGAUUGUUCCCCAGAUGGCCGUGGAGUCACUGCUGGAGGAGAAACUCUUAAAUAGCAGCGCAGGACAAACAGAGACGACUCGUACAGCACACACAUUUAUCUACUCCAACAUCUCCCUAGAGGAGUCUGAAAAGGCAGGGGAGAUAGCAACAAUACCUCUAACCAAGAUCAUAACACAGAAGUACAGCCGCUUCUCAUGGGUGGCAGAGCUGAUCCAGGUCUUUACCACCAUCAGUAUAACCGUGAGCUUCCUCGUGAUGGGCACAGCCAUGAAGCACACCAUCGAUGGCCUCGUCUCCUCACACUGGACGGAGAACGCUGAACGGAUGGCCAGGAUCAGCUCACAGUGGAGGACAUCAGGCCAGAGCUUCCAGCACUGCAGACGGUUCUUCAGCACUUUCAUGUCCUUUUUGGCUUUCGGCCUCAUUUUUGUCGUUUCAGCUUGUGAUCCGAAGGGAUUUGUUGUGAUGCUUGACAAAGUGGUCUCCUUCUCCUUGAACACUGAGGUGGGCUUGUUCAUCUUCCUCAUGCUGAGAGCCUCCAGAUCCCAGCGUUUCAAGCAUCUGACGGUGACUCUGCCGGCGAGCGAGAGACUCUUCAGGCUCCACUGGCUGCUGCCCAUCUACUUCCUGUUCGCCGUAGCUUACGACGUCUUCCAGAGCAUCCUAGAGAUCACUGAGAACAUGGCGCUGGUCCUCCACACCAACUCUUCUCUUGGAUGAGAACGACUGGAUAUCAGGUGUCAAAUCCUGAGCCCAACAGCUCAAAGUAAACACCACAUGGCAACUUCUGAAAACAGUCAAGCUUGUGGCUGAUGUAACAGAAGGACAUAUCAGAGACGGGGAAGGUUAUCUGCAUAUGUUGUGACACUGCUUCUGGGUGGGAGUCGCUGGAAAGGGAGGCGAUGCGCUGCUCCAAACCAGGACUUGACAGAGGACAACAAGAAUGGGAGGUAACAUAAGGACAAGAUCUAAACUGCCUGGAUUCCUGGAGGAUCAUGGGGAUUGCAUAACGUUUUUACCUUCCUCCGGCUCUUUGAGAACUCUAUGCAUGUCAUUUAGAAAAACAACAAUGUGACUUGUUUUUUACAGAAAAAGGAAGCAUAAAAAAAAUAAAAAUAAUAAAAAACAUUUUUAAAAGGGUUACCAAAAAAAAAACAGUCUCCUUUCUAGAAUUGAUUCUACUAAAAAAAGAAUAAUUAUCAAUAUUUACUGUUUGUUUCUAAAUAAUUUUUAUGCUAAUUAACAUACCAACAUGUACCCACUCAGCAUUAAUUAGUCCUCUGUUAUUGCUUAAUUAAUCAACAAAUCAACAGCCUGUUGUCUUUGAAUCUAUGUGAAAAUGAAACCAUCCUGUAACUGAACAAUCCUGGAGCUUAUUUCAUGUGCUGCAGCACAGACACAGACCUGCUGAGCUUGUUUAAUGAACUUAUUUGCCUCUGCUAACGAGUGACACUAAGUGUGGCUUGAUUGCCAGCAGCUAAAGAGCUAAACUAUGAGUAAAGCAGCUGAAGCUGACCCUACAGCCUACACAGUUUUUCUGUAGUAUGAAUCACUAAAUUAAACACCAUGUUGGAAGGUGAGGCAUUGAAGUGUAGGUCAAAGGACAAAUGUGUUAUGAGCUAAGUGAAAAGCAGAAUGCACUGCAGCACCUCAAGGCUUGAAUCUUAGAAAACCUUUCCAGAACAUAUUUUUCCAUAAAUACAAAAGAAAUUAGAAUUAUUUGAAUAAUUAUGUUAUUUCUAUCAUGACAUCUCUCAGGAGAUUUUAGCACGGUAAUGGAUAAGACUAUGUUAAUGUACAGUAUUUGGUCAUGGCGGAAUAGAUCUGCUAUGCUGCUGCUCUUAAAUUGCUGCUGUUGGUUAUUGCUACUGCAAAUCAAGUACAUGAACUUGCUACUGCUAAUACAUACGCCUACACAGUGCUGUGAGUAUUUAAUACUAUUUAAGCUGGGGAAGGUGUUGCGAGUAUUUAAGACUAAACAAGCAGAUCUAUACAGGUGGAGCUGGGGAGGUAGAAGGUUUCAAAGGAACUCUGAAAGUACACUGCGAAAUGCUCUAGUGAAAGCUAACCAUUUGAAUGUAAAGCAGCAAGCUCAUUGGCUGCGUAUGCAGCAUAAACAAAUCAGCUUGUCCUAAUUAGUUUAAAGGGAUAGUUCACCCCAAAAUGAAAAUUGUGUCAUUAAUGACUCACCCUCAUGUCGUUCCAAACC